rnacentral:snRNA from 1 species
GGAUGUGAAGGCAAUUUGGCUGCAACAUCUGUCACCCCAUUGAUUUCCAGAGUUGAUUUGGCUGACCUGGGUGGUUAGAUGUAUGUCCCCUUCCAUCCGCACUGCUCCUGUGCUUGUCUUUCUAAAGCUGUGUGCUCAAAGAGGACAACCUUCCCUGAUAGAGGACAACUGUUUUUCAGUCAGGUGUAUUUGAGCUGCUGCACUCCCCUCUAGAACCUCCAAAGAAGUUCUCAAGAUCAAACGUCACUUAAUAUUAAAGUCCUCUCUGAUCACCUUUGAAAUUCUAACCCCUUCCCCAGCCACCAGUACUCUGU